rnacentral:rRNA from 1 species
CCUACGGGAGGCAGCAGUGAGGAAUAUUGGACAAUGGCCGAGAGGCUGAACCAGCGAAGUCGCGUGAGGGAAGAAUGUCCUAUGGGCUGUAAACCUCUUUAGUCAGGGAGAAAAGUAACCCACGUGUGGGUGUUGGCGAGUACCUGUAGGAACAGCAUCGGCUAACUCCGGGCCAGCAGCCGCGGUAAUACGGAGGAUGCGGGCGUUAUCCGGAUUUAUUGGGUGUAAAGGGUGCGUAGGCGGGUUAGCAAGUCAGCGGUAAAAUCGUGGAGCUGAACUCCAUCCAGCGUUUGAAACUGAUGAUCUUGAGUGGGCGAGAAGUAGGCGGAAUGCGUGGUGUAGCGGUGAAAUGCAUAGAUAUCACGCAGAACUCCGAUGGCGAAGGCAGCAUACCGGCGCCCGACUGACGUUGAAGCACGAAAGCGUGGGUAUCGAACAGGAUUAGAUACCCGGGUAGUC